rnacentral:rRNA from 1 species
GAUGAACGCUGGCGGCGUGCCUAAUACAUGCAAGUCGAGCGAACGGACGAGAAGCUUGCUUCUCUGAUGUUAGCGGCGGACGGGUGGGUAACACGUGGAUAACCUACCUAUAAGACUGGGAUAACUUCGGGAAACCGGAGCUAAUACCGGAUGAUAUUUUGAACCGCAUGGUUCAAAAGUGAAAGACGGUCUUGCUGUCACUUAUAGAUGGUUCCGCGCUGCAUUAGCUAGUUGGUAAGGUAACGGCUUACCAAGGCAACGAUGCAUAGCCGACCUGAGAGGGUGAUCGGCCACACUGGAACUGAGACACGGUCCAGACUCCUACGGGAGGCAGCAGUAGGGAAUCUUCCGCAAUGGGCGAAAGCCUGACGGAGCAACGCCGCGUGAGUGAUGAAGGUCUUCGGAUCGUAAAACUCUGUUAUUCGGGAAGAACAUAUGUGUAAGUAACUGUGCACAUCUUGACGGUACCUAAUCAGAAAGCCACGGCUAACUACGUG